GUUUUAAGUCUCAUCUGCACUAUCCUCUGGUCUCUUCUCAUUCCCAAGUGUUAAAGGACCACUAUAGUGCCAAGAAAACACUCAUUUUCCUGGCACUAUAGUGCCCUGAGGGUGCCCCCACCCGCCGGGCUCUGGGGAGAGGAAGGGGUUAAACUUAACUCUUUCUCCAGCGCCGGACGGGGAGCUCUCCUCCUCUCCUCCUGAAUGCGCAUGCACGGCAAGAGCCGCGCGUUCAGCC